rnacentral:lncRNA from 1 species
ACCCAGGGCCUGCUCAUGCUUUCCUUUCUCUUGAGAGAACUGAAAUGGACAGGACAAAUGACUGGCUCAAGGUCACACUGCAGCUGUGAAAGAAGAAGGGCUUGAGGACACAGAAGGGAACUAAAAAUCCUCCUCCAUCUCCAGGGCUGGACCUGUUACCUCCUGGCUUCUCCCUGUUCUUGGCUUGCGUCUUUCCCCCUCAUCACAGAGCACAGCAUGCUGAAGGGAGGCCAGCAGGACUUAAUUUGGUCAUGAAAUUUCUAAGUUUACUCAUUCAUAAUCUCAUGGUGUAAUGGAAAUAAAGGCCCCAGACUCAGACUAUCUGGUUUCUGGCCCUAAUUGCCAAAAGCCCUCUGUGGGAUUAGGCUUUCUGGCUUCAGUUUCUUUGUAAUUUGUUUUGUAAUAGCAACAUUAUUAGACUAGAUUAUGGGUCUUUUGCCACAUACCUAAACUGAUUGCCCAUGUAAAAGCCUUUUUAGAAACUUGCAUUUCAGAUACUUAUUUUUUUUCUUUCUUCUUAUUUUGUUUUAUUUUUUUGGAAACAGUUCUCGUUCUGUUACCUAGGCUGGAGUGCAGUGGCACAAUCACAGCUCACUGCAGCCUGGACCUCCCAGACUGAAGUGAUCCUCCUGCUUCUGCCUCCUGAAGAGCUGGGACUACAGGCGUGCGCCACUAUGCCCAGCUAUUUUUUUUUUUUUUUGUAGAGAUGGAGUUUCUACAUGAAACCCCCAUCAACAUGAAAACCAUGUUGCCCAGGCUGGGCUCAAACUCCUGGACUCAAGCGAUCCACCUUCUUCAGCCUCCCAAACAGAUGGGAUUACAUGAGCGAGCCACUGCGCCGGGCCUCAGCUACUUAUAUUAGGGUUCUACAGAGUAUGGCACAUGCUUCCCAGAAGCAUUAUGAAAGUAAAUAUGUGGAUUGACAGUGGCACCCUCCCUUUAUCCAGAUGUCACCUGGCUUUGUGUGGUGGUUGUACCGUACACGGAGGCACCCGAGGGAAGAGUGGGAGUUCCAGAAAAGCAAAAUACUCUGUGGUGUACCUGCACCACAUUUUACCCAUUCACUCUCCCAGUGAUGCCAUCUCCUUGCCACCACCAUGCUGCAAUGAUCCACCAUGUACAUUUCCCUCUUCAGCCUGCCUGGGAAUGUUUCCAGGAUAUGUGCUCAUCAGUGGAAUUUCUGAGUCAGAGGGCACCUGCAUACUUAAUUUGGUUAUGUAAUGCUAGAAGUCUCUCCAAAAUAAAUGCUG